CAGUUGCUAGUAUACCUGCUCCAGGAUCUUUCAUGUUUUCUCUUCGUAAUAAUGACAACCUUGAGCCUUUCAAGGCUCCGUUGAGAAAUCAGAAUGACGCGAGAGCAAUUCGAAUUGAGAGUUGGAAAGGACCCAUAUUUGGUGGUGGUCAUGACUUGGAUAUUGCAGACGAUGCGGGAUCAAAUACAAAUUCCUUUGCAAAUUUUGGUGCCAGCUACCAAUCUCCACCUGGAUACACUUAUAAUCAACCCAACACAAAAUCCCUGCUUGCCGGUAGCUAUAACUUCAGACCGUCCGAAAUUGAAGUUUUAUAUUUAGAUUGAAGCAGCUCUUACGUACUUCAAGGUAAAUAAAUUUGGCAAAGAAGUCAUGAUAUGUCGUAAAUGAUAUACAGUAACAAACGUCAACUCUCAUAUAAAUGCCUCAUUUCAACACCCAUGUUCAAAUGUCUUGUUUAUAUACCCCCUCCCACAUCGAAAUAACGCCCUUUUCUGUAGAGAGGAAUUUAUUAGAAUUCACACUCAUCGCACGUACUGAUAUGUGCUGGAGCAUUCGUUCAACAAAAUACGUAACAAAAGCCGAAAAAUGAAAAGCUCUAGGGAGACUGAGUAUGUUGCCUAAAAGAAGGUCGUCAAAUUUAAAUGUUUAUGUUUCUGCUCUAGUACAGAAUCAUACUUGCCUCCAAAUAUAAUCAUUUUAUCACUUUUCGGUCGACACAGAGCCAUCAAAUACUACUAUAAUAUUGUGUCAGGUUGGAAAUGUAGAAAUUUAAAAUUUAUAUAUUGCUUUUAAUUCAUAUAUUUUGCUGUUCAUUUUUCGGGUUUUGUUGCACUUUGUAUCUUCUUAAAGGAUUAGUGUCAGGGUCAUGCAUUACGGGCAUUUGUUAUUGUUUACAGUUUACUCAAAUACAAUAAAUAGCGAUAAAAAUACCUUGUUUGGUACAUUUCUGAUACAAAUCAGACAAAAAGAGCAAGGAUUAUAAAAGGAUGGUUUAAAUAUAUGACGGAUUGUAAACACUUUCCAGAUCAUUUAAUCUAUUCGUCCCGACAAAUGGCCGCCAGCAGGAGUUUGAGCCCGCAAAUUCCUGGUGUGACACUAGUCCUUUAAUUGGAAUUGACCGCAGGAACAAACUCUAGGAAAGCGCUGUUUCAGGAUAUUACAUUGCCUUAUAUAGCUAAUAUGCUUUGCUAUCCAGGCGUUUAUUAGAUCAUUUCAAUUCUAUUUUAGUAUUGACUUUUCACUGCUUCAUUCCCAGCCGCUAUAUGGCACGGAACAUGAAGUGCUACGAUAGGUGGGCGACUGUCGAGAAGAGCACAUUUUCCGUUCCACCAUCCUUGUUCUUAUGCCUGUAUUCUAAACGCUCACUCAUGCUUACACUCAUGCUGUUUGUGAAUAGUUGGAGGGUGAGUAGUCACUUAGUAUAAGGUACGACAACAAUCAACCAGCUAUUCAAAAAACAGCACUGUCACUCAAGGGAAGCUCAGAUUGAACCUCCAGUCAUUGAGUGUGAGUGAGCUUUUAGAAAACAGGUGCUAGUUAAUCGAAAAUAGUACAUUGAAUUACGUUCGUUUACGUUUAUAGAAACAUAUGUUCAUCAUUGCUAGGUGUUUAUUGUUUUCUCAUGGCCACUGGCAAUGUCAAAAAUCAACUCAAACAUUGCUAUUGGUUGGUUUUGUAAAACUACGAUGUCCAUUUCUCGAUGAACAGAGCAUUUGCUAUGCAAACGGAGGCGAGAUAAGUUCAUUUAAAAUUUUAUUUGUAUUUUGUAGACAAUUUUUUUGGCGAGUCAGAUUUGGCGAAUUCACUGGUCAAGCUCAACGGGAAGUCCACCAUAUUUAAGUGUGAAAUGUAUUUAAAGCACGUUUGGUGCGCCAAGUUUCUCCUUUUCUUUCAAGAUCUUUCAGCAUCCUUAUUUAAUUUUUUGUCCUAAAUUAAUUUAAAAUAUUUUUACGCUAGGCUUGCGCAAUGUCACUUCCUGAGCGAUGUGAUUUUAUGUCAUCGUUACAAAAUAAUAAUGUAAUUUUAUAUCAUUUACGAUACAUAUUGAGUGACUAAAAUUCCACUCAUUAUGAUAAAUCUAUCUAUGUUGAAGAUUUGUCGCAAAUUUGACCGACUUUUAUGACAUAAUUACUGUAGCCAUAUAUUACACAACGACUAAAUCAAAUCGCUCGGGACAUUGCGCAUUCAAGUAUAAGAUAUGCAAACGCAAGAUAUAUGCAAGUAUAAGUUAAUAAUUACAGGUGCAGAUACCUACUGCGGAGUAGAAUGGACUUGGACGGUGCUAGUACAUUAGGAAUCAAUUGUUUGAUUGUAGUUUGAAUGAAAUGUAUAUAGUGUGUAAUUAGCUCAAGAGAACGUCAGCGUAACAUCUAAUCUUUUACAAUUUGCAUUCAUGAUAUGUCUGAAUUUGGGAUUACACUCGCACAAACGCAGACAGUUAGGCUGUAGUAACUAAACAAUGUGUAUAUUUAAUUGUUAAAUAAAUGAGUU